UCUUUUCUUCAGGAAGAAGAUCUGACGGUACUUGAGGAAUAAGCCACGGCUAAUUCCGUGCCAGCAGCCGCGGUAAUACGGGAGUGGCAAGCGUUAUCCGGAAUUAUUGGGCGUAAAGCGUCCGCAGGCGGCCCUUCAAGUCUGCUGUUAAAAACUGGAGCUUAACUCCCUAAUGGCAGUGGAACCUGUUGGGCUUGAGUAUGGUAGGGGCAGAGGGAAUUCCCGGUGAAGCGGUGAAAUGCGUAAAUAUUUGGAAGAACACCCGUGGGCGA
rnacentral:rRNA from 1 species